rnacentral:snRNA from 1 species
AUGGUCACCUGGCAGGGGAGCCACCAUGAUUACGAAGGAGGUUUUCCCAGGGUGAGGCUUAUCUUGCACUCCCCGAUGUGCUGACCCCUGUGAUGUCCCCAAAUGUGGGAAACUCAGCUGCAUAAUUUGUGUACUGGGGGACUACAUUCAUGCUCUCCCCUG